AGUGUACCAGGCAUUGCUCUAACCGUUUUACACAUUUACAUGCUAUAACUCCAAAAUUAUCGUUACCCCCUUUUACGAAUGAAGAGACUAAGACCUAGAAAUGUGAAGUACAUUUACCUGAACUCAUCACCUUCCCACCCCCAUCCCAUCGACUCUGUGCUGUAUCCUGAACCGGCUGACAGAACAAUGAUGUAGACUUGACUUGUUUUCGCCAACCUGGAAUGAAGCAAAGCUCUUGUGCACCCAAGAUCUGCUCUCUGUUGUAAAUCCUGUUCAGACCUGGUCUAAUUGGUUUGAAUAAAUAAAGAACCGGAAUCUUUCUCAUCCAAACUAGUUGCCAGCAUAUUUUUAAGGCCACCUCCCUUCAAAUUUAAAAGGAAGUGUUGAAUGUACUGUCACUAUAAAUUAAAAGCCCUGGAAAUUCACACGCAAGGAGGCAUUCUUUCUCCCAGGGGCACAAAAUUGUUUAAAAUUUGCAGAUAGGGUUAUUAAACACGAAGAUCCUUUUGCUA
rnacentral:lncRNA from 1 species